rnacentral:rRNA from 1 species
UACGAGGGGGGCGAGCGUUGUUCGGAAUUAUUGGGCGUAAAGGGUGCGUAGGCGGUUUGGUAAGUCUUAUGUGAAAUCUACAGGCUCAACUUGUAGUCUGCAUGAGAAACUGCCGGGCUUGAGUAUGGGAGAGGUGAGUGGAAUUCCUGGUGUAGCGGUGAAAUGCGUAGAUAUCAGGAGGAACACCGGUGGUGUAAACGGCUUUCUGGACCAUAACUGACGCUGAGGCACGAAAGCGUGGGUAGCAAACAGG